AUUUAAAUAGUUUAAUUAAAACAUUGAUUUGUGGAAUCAAGGAUAUUAUAUUUAUAAUUUUAAGUA
rnacentral:tRNA from 1 species